AUCAUAAAAUAAUAAGCCAUGCUCAUUCUAUUCUUUUUAACCGAAACUAAAACAAAGAAAAAGAAAGAAAGCCAAGCUAGGUUCGACAUAUAUUCAAGCUCAAUCAAGGGAAAAAUGAAAGUUGUCGACUAGUCGUCCCAUUCCGUUUUACAUCAUCUGAGUGUACAAAAAGGGAGGAGGACUAGGUGGGUCAAGAAGGAGAUAAGGGCAAUGCUAUGGAGGCCGAUUCACCUAAGGAGGUCGAGAGUUGGAACUAGGAUAAGAGGACAGGCUGAGAGGGAAAUUGUAACAGCCCGUUUUUAAGUCAAAUCGGAAUAGUAAUUUCAGAACAA